rnacentral:tRNA from 1 species
GGGAAAAUAGCUCAGUGGUAGAGCAUCGGUUUCUUAACUCAAAGGUGAGGGUUCGAUUCCCGGUUUCCCG